AUGAUUCCAAGAUCCUGGGUUGCUCCUUCGGGACGAUAUCCAUAAUAUGCUACAUUAAUAAAGGAGCUCUCAGGUUGAGGAGCAGUAUAUUUCUCUUACACAA
rnacentral:snoRNA from 1 species